GUAAAAUCCCGAAUUUUGAAGAAAGCAGGAACUGUUGUUGCUUUUUUAACAAUUAUUCGUCAUUCUAUGAUGUAGAAUUUUUUUCUUUAAUUAGGAAUUCCAUUAUGUAUCGUGGUAAAUUGGUGAAUAUUUUUCAAUUAGAAUACGUUUUUAGUGUCCAUUCAGCUUUGUAUUUAUAAAUGUAGUAAAUUGGUUGGCAAAAAAUCGAUUUUUCUUAUGUUAUAAGGGGAUUAAUUACAGAUAAAAAUAAAUUUUCCAUUUUUCCUUUUUUGUAAAAUGCUGUCCAGACAAGUGUUGUUAACAGAGUAAGUAGGUAUUAUUUAUCAAUAUAUGAUGUAGUUUUCAUAAUUAUUUCAUAAUUUAUGUAUAAGAUGUAGAAACACACUUUUUUUUACUUUACUUUAUCUUCUGCAAAUUUAAUUAAAAAUUGUGAAUUUUC
rnacentral:misc_RNA from 1 species